GUCUACGGCCAUACCACGUUGAAAGCACCGGUUCUCGUCCGAUCACCGAAGUUAAGCAACGUCGGGCCCGGUUAGUACUUGGAUGGGUGACCGCCCGUUUCCGAAUGAGCUUGUGUAUUUU
rnacentral:rRNA from 1 species